GCGCUAUCAGAUGAGCCUAGGUCGGAUUAGCUAGUUGGUGAGGCAAUGGCUCACCAAGGCGACGAUCCGUAACUGGUCUGAGAGGAUGAUCAGUCACACUGGAACUGAGACACGGUCCAGACUCCUACGGGAGGCAGCAGUGGGGAAUAUUGGACAAUGGGCGAAAGCCUGAUCCAGACAGGCCGCGUGUGUGAAGAAGGUCUUCGGAUUGUAAAGCAAUUGAGUUGGGAGGAAGGGCAGUUACCUAAUACGUGA
rnacentral:rRNA from 1 species